CCUACGGGACGCAGCAGUGGGGAAUAUUGCACAAUGGGCGAAAGCCUGAUGCAGCAACGCCGCGUGAAGGAAGAAGGGUUUCGGCUCGUAAACUUCUAUCAACAGGGACGAAAGAAAUGACGGUACCUGAAUAAGAAGCCCCGGCUAACUACGUGCCAGCAGCCGCGGUAAUACGUAGGGGGCAAGCGUUAUCCGGAUUUACUGGGUGUAAAGGGAGCGUAGGCGGUUUAGCAAGUCAGAAGUGAAAGCCCGGGGCUCAACUCCGGGACUGCUUUUGAAACUGUUGAACUAGAUUGCAGGAGAGG
rnacentral:rRNA from 1 species